rnacentral:rRNA from 1 species
UACGGAGGAUCCAAGCGUUAUCCGGAUUUAUUGGGUUUAAAGGGUGCGUAGGCGGCUUCUUAAGUCAGAGGUGAAAGACGGUGGCUCAACCAUCGCAGUGCCUUUGAUACUGAAGAGCUUGAUUAUACCUGAAGUGGGCGGAAUGUGACAAGUAGCGGUGAAAUGCAUAGAUAUGUCACAGAACACCAAUUGCGAAGGCAGCUCACUAAAGUAUAAACGACGCUGAGGCACGAAAGCGUGGGGAUCAAACAGG